rnacentral:rRNA from 1 species
AAAACGACUCUCGGCAACGGAUAUCUAGGCUCUCGCAUCGAUGAAGAACGUAGCGAAAUGCGAUACUUGGUGUGAAUUGCAGAAUCCCGCGAAUCAUCGAGUUUUUGAACGCAAGUUGCGCCCGACGCCUUUCGGCCGAGGGCACGUCUGCCUGGGUGUCACGC